rnacentral:rRNA from 1 species
UGGGGAAUCUUGGACAAUGGGCGCAAGCCUGAUCCAGCCAUGCCGCGUGAAGGAUGAAGUAUUUCGGUAUGUAAACUUCGAAAGAGUAGGAAGAAUAAAUGACGGUACUAUUUAUAAGGUCCGGCUAACUACGUGCCAGCAGCCGCGGUAAUACGUAGGGACCAAGCGUUGUUCGGAUUUACUGGGCGUAAAGGGCGCGUAGGCGGCAAUUCAAGUCAUCUGUGAAAUCUCCGGGCUUAACUCGGAACGGUCAGAUGAUACUGCUUUGCUAGAGUGCAGAAGGGGCAAUCGGAAUUCUUGGUGUAGCGGUGAAAUGCGUAGAUAUCAAGAGGAACACCUGAGGUGAAGACGGGUUGCUGGGCUGACACUGACGCUGAGGCGCGAAAGCCAGGGGAGCAAACGGGAUUAGAUACCCGAGUAGUCCCUGAGCGGGCUGGCAAGGCGCAU